GCACUGGGUUUUGUCAUGUAGAGAAAUGAUUAGGGAGAAUCGCUUCUCAAAGGUAAUAGAAUUAGUCAUAGGCGUUGGUGACAUCGUGAACCCAUUCCAUGAAACAAGCUUUUGUUGAGUUGUUCUCUUGACGCGCCAGGAAUCUCUUCUAUUCUACUCCAUUUCCCUCCAAUAUGCCGUCCCAAAAUCUGUGCACUGUAGAGGGAGAAAGAAAAAUGAUGUAAAUCUCAUUCAUGACAGUGGCCUGUUCUUCUUACUGGAAAGAGAAAUGAUGUAUAUCUCAGUCAUGAUAGUGGCUUGUGCUUCUUAUUGGAAAGAGAAAUGAUGUAAUUCUCAGUCAUGAUAGUUGGCCUGUGCUUCUUAAUGGCGACCUUUAUUUGAAAUUAUUUUGGGUUUAGGAACUUUUGUGAUUACUAUUUUAUUGGAAAAAGCUGAAUGAAAUAUGGAAAAUAAUUAAGGUGAGGGAGAUAAUGUAACCGUUGUUUAUGUCUUGUUAAGGCCAGUUGUUGCUCGAAGAGGAAUAAUAGAAGAGCCAGUGAAAAGUAGAGACUUUCCUGGCCAUCUGUCCAUUGGAAAAAUCAAAUUUCAGAAGCUAGGAGAAGAAAUGAGAAAAGCGGUAUCAACAUCACACUACUCCCAGAGUAACACAAUCGAAAAUGAGAUGGCCAUCGACUGGCGUGUCCUACAGGAAGAGUCUAGCCUGAGGUGGAAAGCUUUACAUCAGGAACAAGCAGCGGAAAUUGAACGUCUUAGUAGCAAGUUGAAGACCCUUAUUUAGAACUCUGUAUAGGAUCUAACGGGACUGGUUUUGUUGAUUUUCUUGUGGAUAUGGAUAUGGGGUUGCGCACCUAAGCACAGAGUAGUACAGAUAUUUUGUUUGAUGAUAGAAUGCAACUUUUUGUGCCGCACAAUAAUGCAUCUUUUGUCAUUCAGUGUGUUGGUGUGAAUUCCAACGUUGUAGGCAGUUAGCUAUAGGAUUAGUCAAAUAGCCUCUUUAGGAACAGCCCUUGAUUUAAGAAGGUUGUCAUUAGAUCCGUUAAAAUUUGACAAAUUUUUGUUUGGGUGGGACCAAAGGUGUCCUUGUUUUGCAAGCUUAAAAGGAGUAUUGAUGUUCAUUGUUAUAUA